AAUUAAAAUACCCACUGAGAAUCCUCCUAAUUCAGUAGUUGUAGAAUCUAAUCCCCCACGAAGACUUCUCCUCCUAACCCAACAGAAACCCCUUUACAGUUAUCCAUCUCCGAUGCGGCAGUGGCAGAAGCGGAUUUCGGCUCUCCACACACUUCUACUCAAGGAUUAAAAAAAACAAGCAGACGGGUCGGUUGAUCGCUACAAAGCGAGAUUGGUUGCCAAAGGAUUUACUCAGAGGCCGGGUGUUGAUUUUCACUCGGCUUUCAGUCUGGUAGUCAAACCCACAACUAUCCGAAUCAUCCUUGAUGUUGCCCUCCGGUUUCAUUGGCCUCUUCGCCGGCUCGACGUCAACAAUGCCUUUCUUCAAGAUGACCUUGAAGAGGAGGUUUACAUGAUGUAACCUCCGGGUUUUGUUUGUGACAAUAAUCUGACUCAUAUUUAUAAGUUGCGCAAGGAAAUUUAUGGCCUGAAGCACGCGCCUCGGGCUUGGUACAAUUCACUCAAAGGCCAUCUUCUCUACAUGGGAUUUAUCAAGACUGAAUCUGAUAACUCCUUAUUCAUUAGGAUCAACAACACUAGUUUCAUGUUCAUCUGGUUUAUGUUGACGACAUCAUCGUCAUCGGCAGCAACCUUAUUACUGUGAAUGAGUUUAUAGCUUCUCUUGCCUCUUGCUUUUCAAUUAAAGAUUUGGAAAACCUUUACUGUUU